CACCGUGCAUAUUAGCAUAAUUUGUUGCAUUCAAAAAUUGUACAUGCAAAUUAGUGUUGUAAAAAGCGGGAAUCGGACUUAAUUGGUGAAGUCACGGAACAACGAUUAAUCAAUGAUUAAUUGAAUUGAUCGGGGAUUAAUCGGAUUAAUCAGAGAUUUAAUCAGUUCGGCGAGUUACGGAACAGGGAUUAAUCGGUGACUAAUCGUGAUUAAUCACCGAAUUUUAGAACAGAUGUUUAAAGUAUAAAAUAGCUUAGUAUGUCGAUUACGUGGUUUAAUGGCUUCUUCCCGUUUUGAGAUCAUCAUCGCCGUCCAGAUUCGCCAUUACAAGUGAGAUGGAUAACACCGUUUUUUGGUUUGUAUUGGGGAUAACAAAGCUACCUAGGAUUUAAGCUAUUUGCUGCCGUUGAUGGAACUAAUCGGAUAUGAGCCAAUCACCACCGCAACCAUUCAGGAUAAUUUGGAAGCGAGCUGGUUCGUGGCUUAUGGGUGUUCUUUUCUCAUUCAUUUAAGCUUUAUUGUCUAAGCGUCCGGAGUUGUGCUUGCAUGACUUUCGGUUAGAUGAUAAACUUUCUUGAAAGAAAGAUAUCCCGGAUGCGGUUUAUUGUAUUUCGAUACAAUUCAUCUACGUAUAUGUAGACCUUACAAAAAAAAAAAAAAAAAACUUUCAUCAUGAAAGUAUUGUAUUAUACCUUUCCAAUAACUUGAUUGAAAUAGGGGUCUAUAAUAAAGUCCUGCCAUGAUGAUCUUUUAAGCAAA